rnacentral:lncRNA from 1 species
GGUGGAUUCACCCCUCUUAUGGACUGGGAGGUCAGAAAACUAGCCAUGGAGAGAAGAGGGGCUGCAGACCACUAUCAGUCAUCUACCACUUACCUACGCUCCUAUCCACCUGCAGCUCACCUUGCUAUCUACCAAAAGUGACAAGAAGCCAGCUGGCUGUCAUAGUCGAGUUGGAUUUCAUCACCUCGAAGCUUCUCUGAGUUACAUGGCCACUGAGGUUACUGUCCUACAAAAUAAAGUCACCACAAAGCCUCUGGACUACUUCUUUUGUGGAUUCAUGAGCUGGGGAAAGGGGUUCUCCAUUCUCUGCGUCUCGUCACACCCAUAGUGAGUGAGACCUGGCUUUGUUGAGCAUCCUUCCCCACCUUCUGAGGAUCUGUGAGGCUCCUCAUACCUGC